rnacentral:rRNA from 1 species
AUUGAACGCUGGCGGCAUGCCUUACACAUGCAAGUCGAACGGCAUCGCGGGAAAGCUUGCUUUCCUGGCGGCGAGUGGCGAACGGGUGAGUAACACAUCGGAACGUACCGGCUAGUGGGGGAUAACCCGUCGAAAGACGGGCUAAUACCGCAUACGCUCUUCGGAGGAAAGCAGGGGACCUUUGGGCCUUGCGCUAGCCGAGCGGCCGAUGUCCGAUUAGCUAGUUGGUGGGGUAAAGGCCUACCAAGGCGACGAUCGGUAGCGGGUCUGAGAGGACGAUCCGCCACACUGGGACUGAGACACGGCCCAGACUCCUACGGGAGGCAGCAGUGGGGAAUCUUGGACAAUGGGGGCAACCCUGAUCCAGCAAUGCCGCGUGGGUGAAGAAGGCCUUCGGGUUGUAAAGCCCUUUCGGCAGGGAAGAAAUCGGCGGGGCGAAUAACCCUGCUGGAUGACGGUACCUGCAGAAGAAGCACCGGCGAACUACGU